rfam:TPA: Bos taurus chromosome 11, whole genome shotgun sequence.
UCCCUGGUGGCUCAGACGGUAAAGCGUCUGCCUCCAGUGCAGGAGAUCCGGGUUCAAUCCCUGGGUCCGGAA